rnacentral:rRNA from 1 species
CGAACCGAGCGAACGUUGUUCGGAAUCACUGGGCUUAAAGGGCGCGUAGGCGGGCUGCCGCGUCCGGGGUGAAAUCCCACGGCUCAACCGUGGAACGGCCCCGGGUACGGGCGGCCUCGAGGAAGGUAGGGGCGUGCGGAACUGUGGGUGGAGCGGUGAAAUGCGUUGAUAUCCACAGGAACUCCGGUGGCGAAGGCGGCACGCUGGGACCUUUUCUGACGCUGAGGCGCGAAAGCCAGGGGAGCGAACGGGAUUAGAUACCCCGGUAGUCCUGGCCCUAAACGAUGAGAACUGGGUAGUAGCCCUGGCAUGGGGUUACUGCCGCAGCCAAAGUGCUAAGUUCUCCGCCUGGGGAGUAUGGUCGCAAGGCUG